UGCCCUAUGGGUUGUAAACUGCUUUUACAGAGGAAGAACCACCCCCACGUGUGGGGGUUUGACGGUACUCUGCGAAUAAGGAUCGGCUAACUCCGUGCCAGCAGCCGCGGUAAUACGGAGGAUCCAAGCGUUAUCCGGAAUCAUUGGGUUUAAAGGGUCCGUAGGCGGGCAGUUAAGUCAGUGGUGAAAGUCUUCCGCUCAACGGGAGAACUGCCAUUGAUACUGAUUGUCUUGAGUUAUUAUGAAGUGGUUAGAAUGAGUAGUGUAGCGGUGAAAUGCAUAGAUAUUACUCAGAAUACCGAUUGCGAAGGCAGAUCACUAAUAAUAUACUGACGCUGAUGGACGAAAGCGUAGGUAGCGAACAGGAUUAGAUACCCUGGUAGUCUACGCCGUAAACGAUGGUUACUAGCUGUUCGGCUCAAUUGAGGGCUGAGUGGUUAAGCGAAAGUGAUAAGUAACCCACCUGGGGAGUACGUUCGCAAGAAUGAAACUCAAAGGAAUUGACGGGGGCCCGCACAAGCGGUGGAGCACGUGGUUUAAUUCGAUGAUACGCGAGGAACCUUACCAGGGCUUAAAUGUAGUCUGACAGGUCUGGAAACAGACUUUUCUUCGGACAGAUUACAAGGUGCUGCAUGGUUGUCGUCAGCCCGUGCCGUGAGGUGUCAGGUUAAGUCCUAUAACGAGCGCAACCCCUGUGGUUAGUUGCCAGCGAGUAAUGUCGGGAACUCUAGCCAGACUGCCGGUGCAAACCGCGAGGAAGGUGGGGAUGACGUCAAAUCAUCACGGCCCUUACGUCCUGGGCCACACACGUGCUACAAUGGUAGGGACAGAGAGCAGCCACUUCGCGAGAAGGAGCGAAUCUACAAACCCUAUCACAGUUCGGAUCGCAGUCUGCAACUCGACUGCGUGAAGCUGGAAUCGCUAGUAAUCGCAUAUCAGCCAUGAUGCGGUGAAUACGUUCCCGGGCCUUGUACACACCGCCCGUCAAGCCAUGGAAGCCGGGGGUACCUGAAGUCGGUCACCGCAAGGAGCCGCCUAGGGUAAAACUGGUAACUGGGGCUAAGUCGUAACAAGGUAGCCGUACCGGAAGGUGCGGCUGGAACACCUCCUUUCU
rnacentral:rRNA from 1 species